GAUGAACGCUAGCGGCAGGCUUAAUACAUGCAAGUCGAGGGGGAUUAACUGGGUAGCAAUACUCGGUUAUGAGACCGGCAAACGGGUGCGGAACACGUACGCAACCUUCCCAAAACUGGUGAAUAGCCCUCCGAAAGGAGGAUUAAUACACCGUAACUUAAUGAAGUGGCAUCACUUUAUUAAUAUAGCUCCGGCGGUUU
rnacentral:rRNA from 1 species